ensembl:processed_transcript
GGGACUAAGGGGACCACCUGCAGACACGCCCUGGCUUCUGCCGAAGGUCUUCCUUCUCUUCCCCCUCGGGGCCUAAGAGGCCACGCGCGGGGUCUGGGAGCUCUAGGGUCCGGAGCUCUAGGGUCCUUUUAUGUAGCAAAGUCAGGCCUGGGAACAGAACUUCAUGUGCUUGUAAAAAGUCUCAGGUGCGUCCUCGUUGUUUUAGAGACUUGGAGAGGAAUGGGGGAAAAAAAAAACCGAGGACAGUAGAGCCAAGAAAAUUCGGGGGGCUUCUAGGAUGCCUACCACGCCAAACAGAUCAAAACCAGGACUGGAGGACUGAAGAUGAAGCCGGCAAAACGCCAUCAGCCACGGCUGUUGUAAGGUAUGCUUCACCUCUCCUGCUAAGUCUUCAUCCCUGUCUAUGAGGACAAAGAAGUUACGGGUUAAAUUGGCGAUGGGCCAGGCUGUCCUUGAGGAUGCUCUUAAGAGGACCUGGGCUUGAUUCCUAGCACUGACAUUGUGACUCACCGCCUCCUGUAAUUUCAGUUCCAGGGAAUCUGAUGCCUUCUUCUAACCACCACGAAGACAAGUUGGUGAUAGAAAAUGGGAGAACUGAAGACAACCACUUUAUAAAACCCCUUGUCUGCUUGAAUUUGUGGUGAUG